rnacentral:tRNA from 1 species
UUCUGGGUGGCACAAUGGAUAGUAUGCUGGACUUUAAAUCAGGAAGAUAAGUUCAAAUCUUCUCUCUGAAA